rnacentral:rRNA from 1 species
ACGAACGCUGGCGGCGUGCUUCACCCCUGCCGGUCGAACGGUGAAGCGCCUUCCUUUUUGGUGGGUGUGGAUGAGUGGCGAACGGGUGAGUAACACGUGAGUAACCUGCCCCCUUCUUCUGGAUAACCGCAUGAAAGUGUGGCUAAUACGGGAUAUUCUGGGUCUGUCGCAUGAUGGGUCUGGGAAAGAUAUUGUUUCGGUGGGGGAUGGGCUCGCGGCCUAUCAGCUUGUUGGUGGGGUGAUGGCCUACCAAGGCGGUGACGGGUAGCCGGCCUGAGAGGGUGGACGGUCACACUGGGACUGAGACACGGCCCAGACUCCUACGGGAGGCAGCAGUGGGGAAUAUUGCACAAUGGGCGCAAGGCUGAUGCAGCGACGCCGCGUGAGGGAUGGAGGCCUUCGGGUUGUGAACCUCUUUCGCCAGUGAAGCAGGCCUGCCUCGUUUGUGGGUGGGUUGACGGUAGCUGGAUAAGAAGCGCCGGCUAACUACGUG